rnacentral:rRNA from 1 species
GAUGAACGCUGGCGGCGUGCCUAAUACAUGCAAGUCGAGCGAACGGACGAGAAGCUUGCUUUUCUGAUGUUAGCGGCGGACGGGUGAGUAACACGUGGAUAACCUACCUAUAAGACUGGGAUAACUUCGGGAAACCGGAGCUAAUACCGGAUAAUAUUUUGAACCGCAUGGUUCAAAAGUGAAAUGCGGUCUUGCUGUCACUUAUAGAUGGAUCCGCGCUGCAUUAGCUAGUUGGUAAGGUAACGGCUUACCAAGGCAACGAUGCAUAGCCGACCUGAGAGGGUGAUCGGCCACACUGGAACUGAGACACGGUCCAGACUCCUACGGGAGGCAGCAGUAGGGAAUCUUCCGCAAUGGGCGAAAGCCUGACGGAGCAACGCCGCGUGAGUGAUGAAGGUCUUCGGAUCGUAAAACUCUGUUAUUAGGGAAGAACAUAUGUGUAAGUAACUGUGCACAUCUUGACGGUACCUAAUCAGAAAGCCACGGCUAACUACGUG